rnacentral:rRNA from 1 species
AGUGAACGCUGGCGGUGGGCCUAACACAUGCAAGUCGAACGGCAGCACCCUACGAGCUUGCUCUUACGGGUUGCGAAUGGGGGGCGGGAGAGGAAUACAUCGGACUCUACUUUUUCGUGGGGGUUCACGUAGGUAAACUUACUCUCAUACAGCAUACGCCGUACGGGGGAAGGCGGUGGAUCUUCGCACCUGGCGCGAUUGAAUGAGCGGAUGUCGGGUUAGCUAGUUGGCGGGGUAAGUGCCCAGCCAGGCGACGAUCGGUAGCUGGUCUGAGAGGAUGAUCGGCCACACUGGAACUGAGACACGGUCCAGACUCCUACGGGAGGCAGCAGUGGGGAAUAUUGGACAAUGGGCGCAAGCCUGAUCCAGCGAUAGCGCGUGGGUGAAGAAGGCCUUCGGGUUGUAAAGCCCUUUUGUUGGGAAAGAAAAGCAGCAGGUUAAUACCACGCUGUUCUGACGGUACCCAAAGAAGAAGCACCGGCUAACUUCGUG